UAGGAAACUCUUGACUUGAAAGCUGUGUCAUAAUCAAGGGACUGAGAUUGUGAUCUUUCCAAAGAAAGCCUCUGGCUGUGCUGUUGACUCUCCAGUGGUUUCUCCAAGUACCCACAUUUCCCAACAUCAUCUAGCCCGGAUUCUGAUCUGGCACCUCCUGAUUGGCGCCCUCUGCCUAUAUAAGGUCAGGAUGUGCAACGCUGGAGUCAGAGUCCUACCUUCUCCUGAGCUCUGACGCUUUCCUCUCUGUGCUCCCUGCUGAUCCAUUCACCAGCAUGAAGGUCUUGGCGUUGAUGGUCCUGGUGGCAGUCUCCACCUUCCUGGUCUCAGGCCAGGAUACAACAAGUGCUCCAUCUGAUAGCUCUACUGCUGCCCCUGAUGCCACCACUGCAGCUCAUGCCACCCCUGCAGCUCAUACCACCCCUGCAGUUCCAGCCACCCCUGCAGCUCAUGCCACCCCUGCAGCUCCCACCACCCCUGCAGCUCAUGCCACCCCUGCAGCUCCCGCCACCCCUGCAGUUCCUGCCACCAUGACCAAUGCUGUUCAAAGCACCACUCGAGCUGGUAAGUCUAGCUCAUCUAUAUGUUUCUUUAUGGGGCUCCUGGAUUCCUGGGGUCUCUAUUGUUAUGGUGGACUCUAUUUUGUAGGAGAGGAAGGGAAAGCCCUGAGAAAGCUAUGUUUUCAUUAUUUUCUAAAUUGUUUUUGGUCUUAAAAAUCACUUCAACAGAUAGAUGUCAGGGGAGCCUGAGGUUUGCAGCCUCUUGUUCAGCAGCAUUACCCACAUGGUUUUGAAUUGUUGUCAUUAAAUAGAGAAAAUUCAUCUUUAGUAGCAAUGCCACUGAAAAUACCAAAGCAAUUGUCGUUAGGGCCAGGUAACUGUUUAUGUGUGUCUUUUUCUUUUUAAUCAAAAAAAUUUCUGUUACCUUGAAAGACCUUUCUAGAAAUAAACAACAGCUUUAAAACGAAGCCCUUUGAGGC
rnacentral:lncRNA from 12 species